rnacentral:rRNA from 1 species
AUGCGCUUCUAUUUUCCAGGCGUGAUUCUAUUUUUCCAAGCUGUUGGUGUGGAGGCGCUUGUGUUUUCUAAUUUUGCCUGCUACAUAUUGUUUCGUGUUGGGCUGCAGAGUUUAGGAGCAGUAGUGAAGUUUUCCAGGCCCGCCCAAUUGUUUGGACAACAGAAAACGAAGCUCAGUUGUCAACCCGAAACAAGCAACGAGCCCAGAAAAACGACAAACAACAACAACAACCGCGGGGAGGAGUACGCUCGCUAUAUCAGAAUGAUGACGUCAGUUUAUAGAUGUGCAAUACUUAGGGCACAUCUAGAUGUGCCCUAG